rnacentral:rRNA from 1 species
GUACUCCGGGGAUAACAGGCUGAUACCGCCCAAGAGUUCAUAUCGACGGCGGUGUUUGGCACCUCGAUGUCGGCUCAUCACAUCCUGGGGCUGAAGUAGGUCCCAAGGGUAUGGCUGUUCGCCAUUUAAAGUGGUACGCGAGCUGGGUUUAGAACGUCGUGAGACAGUUCGGUCCCUAUCUGCCGUGGGCGCUGGAGAACUGAGGGGGGCUGCUCCUAGUACGAGAGGACCGGAGUGGACGCAUCACUGGUGUUCGGGUUGUCAUGCCAAUGGCACUGCCCGGUAGCUAAAUGCGGAAGAGAUAAGUGCUGAAAGCAUCUAAGCACGAAACUUGCCCCGAGAUGAGUUCUCCCUGACCCUUUAAGGGUCCUGAAGGAACGUUGAAGACGACGACGUUGA